rnacentral:rRNA from 1 species
AUUGAACGCUGGCGGCAGGCCUAACACAUGCAAGUCGAACGAGUGGCGGACGGGUGAGUAAUGUCUGGGAAACUGCCCGAUGGAGGGGGAUAACUACUGGAAACGGUAGCUAAUACCGCAUACCAUCGGAUGUGCCCAGAUGGGAUUAGCUAGUAGGUGGGGUAACGGCUCACCAAGGCGACGAUCCCUAGCUGGUCUGAGAGGAUGACCCGCAACACUGGGACGGAGACACGGGCCAGACUCCUACGGGAGGCAGCAGUGGGGAAUAUGGCACAAUGGGGGCAAGCCUGAUGCAGCCAUGCCGCGUGUAUGAUGAAGGCCUUCGGGUUGUAAAGUACUUUCAGCGAGGAGGGGUUACUCGCAGAAGAAGCACCGGCUAACUCCGUGCCAGCAGCCGCGGUAAUAC